rnacentral:rRNA from 1 species
GACGAAUGCUGGCGGCGUGCUUAACACAUGCAAGUCGAACGGUGAACAGGAGCUUGCUCCUGGGAUCAGUGGCGAACGGGUGAGUAACACGUGGGCAACCUGCCCCUCACUCUGGGAUAACUCCGGGACACCGGGGCUAAUACCGGAUACGACCUGGAGCGACAUCUCUCCAGGUGGAAAGAACUUCGGUGAGGGAUGGGCCCGCGGCCUAUCAGCUAGUUGGUGGGGUAACGGCCUACCAAGGCGACGACGGGUAGCCGGCCUGAGAGGGCGACCGGCCACACUGGGACUGAGACAUGGCCCAGACUCCUACGGGAGGCAGCAGUGGGGAAUAUUGCGCAAUGGGCGAAAGCCGGACGCAGCGACGCCGCGUGAGGGACGACGGCCUUCGGGUUGUAAACCUCUUUCAGCAGGGACGAAGCGAAAGUGACGGUACCUGCAGAAGAAGCACCGGCUAACUACGUGCCAGCAGCCGCCGUAACAC